GACCAAGACUUCCUGAUUCUGCCUGCCUCCUCCCUGUCUGCCUUUUUCCACCAACCUGGUCUCAGCCCUUCUCACUACACCACAGCCGCAGUGGACCAUUUACUACCCUCCCGGUUCAGCGACCCCCUGCGUCCUCCAUUUCUUCUGCCGGCUAGUGGGCGACGUGACCAGACCCGGA